AAUGAACGUUGGCGGCGUGGAUUAGGCAUGCAAGUCGAGCGACAAGGCUGGACGGAACCUUCGGGGGAAGACCAGCUGGAGGAGCGGCAAACGGGGUAGUAAAGCGUCGGAACGUACCCACCGGACCGGGAUAGCCGUGGGAAACUGCGGGUAAUACCGGAUGAUCUCUUCGGAGCAAAUGGUCCGCCGCCGGUGGACCGGCCGACGUGGUACUAGCUAGUUGGUGAGGUAACGGCUCACCAAGGCUAAGAUGCCUAGGGGGUGUGAGAGCAUGGCCCCCACCACUGGGACUGAGACACUGCCCAGACACCUACGGGUGGCUGCAGUCGAGAAUCUUCGGCAAUGGGCGCAAGCCUGACCGAGCGACGCCGCGUGCGGGACGAAGGCCCUUGGGUUGUAAACCGCUGUCAGAGGGGAGGAAAGCGCAAGCUUGACCGAGCCUCAGAGGAAGCGCGGGCUAAGUUCGUGCCAGCCGCCGCGGUA
rnacentral:rRNA from 1 species